GUGUCAUCCAGUUAUUGGGAUUGCUGUUGGGAUACUGUUGGAUUAUUUUACCUGCUGGAAACCUUGCCUUGUGGAUUUAUAAUUACUUGUUCCUGAGCCUCCCUGGGAUCUUAAGCGGAGAUAAUCUGUGGAAUAUUGUAUCUCUGCUACAGACAUAGUCUUAAAUUAGAGGGGCAACGGUUUAAAAAUAAUAUCAGGAUGUAUUACUUUACUGAGAGGGUCGUGGAUGCAUGGAAUAGCCUUCCAUCUGAAGUGGUAGAGGUUAACACAGUAAAGGAGUUUAAGCAUGC